GGGCAAGUCCUGACAGUGUUCAUGUGCUACAAUUUUUGAAAAAGAAUUUAACAGAGAAUUUUUCUGCAACAUACCAACUCCUAAAGCAAGGCUGGUAUUCUUGAAGAGAUGGUACUAGAACAAUAAUAUGUAUUAGUUAUGAGUUAACAAUAUGUUGUUAUCUUGUUGUUAUUGUAUUAGCAACAAUAUGAAUUUUAUGUGGCUAUUUCUAUAAAUUUUAUGUGGCUGUUUCUAUGAAAGAACUAUUUUGUUGUUUCUAAUUUCUUACUGACCUGUUAUCUUGCUGUUGCUGUUGCUAUCUUGUUGUUUCUAUGUUGCUAUCUUGUUGUAUCUUACUGACCUGUUUCUUUCUUGAUCAAUUAGGAUGGUAAUUCUUCAAGUGAUUCAGAUGGUAAUUCUUCCAGUGAUCCUGAUGGUAAUUCUUCAAGUAAGGAUGAAAUUGAGAAGAUGGUACUCAUUUGUCGUAAGAGGAAUCGGCAAUUCCUGAGUGUGGCCCUCAUGUUUGGUAUGUACUAUGAAACUUUCAUGCAUAAAGCUCCAAGGAGGGUAGCCAGUGUACUGGGCAUAAAAUGGGUACAGAAAACACUAUCAAAUAGAACCUCUUGCUACAACAUGUUUAGGAUGUGUACACCAUUAUUUCAUCAACUUCAUGAUUUGUUGGUCGAGUCCUAUGGCUUGAGGGCAACAAGAAGAAUGUCAAUGUUGGAGGCUUUAGGGAUGUUCCUAUGGAUAGUUGGUUCACCUCAGUCACUUAGACAAGCUAAGGAUCGGUUUGUGAGAUCAUUGGAUACAAUAAGCAGUACAUUCGAUAAAGUUUUGUCUAGUGUUCUUAAGCUAGCAGUAGAUAUUAUUAGGCCAUUGGACCCUGAAUUUAGGACGGUCCACCAAAGAUUACAAAAUCCUCGGUUUGCUCUGUACUUCAACAAUUAUAUAGGAGCAAUAGAUGGGAUGCAUGUACCAAUUGUGGUACCAAGUGAUAAGGUGGUUCAAUAUACGGGGAGACAUGGAUAUACCACACAGAAUGUGCUGGCUAUUUGUGACUUCGACAUGAAGUUUACAUUUGUUGUUAGUAGAUGGCCUGGAUCGGUACAUGAUAUGAGAGUGUUCAAUGAUGCCAUAACCAAAUAUGGUAACAAGUUUCCACAUCCACCUCCAGGUACACUACUCUAUACACGAUCAUUACUACCUCUUACAUGAACUACUUCAUUUACCUGACAAUAAUAUAUUUAUUUGUAGGGAGUUUUACCUAGUUGACUCGAGGUACCCUAACUGUCCGGUUUACUUUGCACCGUACAAGGGUACAACCAUCUCCCGGAGUUUCGAAGUGGCCCAAUGCCAAAAGGUAUGAAAGAGACCUUUAAUUUCACACAUUCGUCCCUUAGAAAUGUCAUCGAGAGGUCCUUUGGUGUUUUAAAGAUGAAGUUGAGGAUUUUGUUGGAUAUGCCAAGUUUUCCAAUGUCGAAGCAAAGCAAAAUAAUUGUAGCAUGUAUGGCAAUUCACAAUUUCAUUUGAUAUUGCAGAUAGGGCCUUUGAUUUGUGCGAUUGUGAUGAAAACUAUGUUCCAAUGGCCGAACCAUCUACCUCUCAAGAACAUGCACAUAAUACCCAUGCAGGGGACGAAGACCGUAACAUGAAUGCAUUCCGUGAUGAAAUAGCUAAUGGUUUGUACAAUUAAAUCAUAGCUAAUGUGUAUGGCUGUCUUCUAAGGACAAUGACAAUGGAAUUGAUUCUUUCUGUGAUUUUAUGGUUGUUUGGACAAUGAAAAUAAAAUUGAAUGUUUAUGUAUUGCUUCAAUAUUUGAGGGAGAGAGGGGCGCACAAGCACCCUAAACCGGCCGUGCAGGAGAGAGUUGACACGGGAGAGCGCACACGGGAGCGGGCGCGGGAGAC
rnacentral:lncRNA from 1 species